rnacentral:rRNA from 1 species
GAAUAUUGGGCAAUGGACGAAAGUCUGACCCAGCGACGCCGCGUGAGGGAUGAAGGCCUUCGGGUUGUAAACCUCUUUCAGCAGGGAAGAAGCGAAAGUGACGGUACCUGCAGAAGAAGCACCGGCUAACUAUGUGCCAGCAGCCGCGGUAAUACAUAGGGUGCAAGCGUUGUCCGGAAUUAUUGGGCGUAAAGAGCUCGUAGGUGGUUAGUUACGUCGGAUGUGAAAAUCUAGGGCUCAACCCUAGACCUGCAUCCGAUACGGGCUAGCUUGAGUUUGGGUAGGGGAGACUGGAAUUCCUGGUGUAGCGGUGGAAUGCGCAGAUAUCAGGAGGAACACCAAUGGCGAAGGCAGGUCUCUGGGCCAAUACUGACACUGAGGAGCGAAAGUGUGGGGAGCGAACAGGAUU